rnacentral:rRNA from 1 species
GAUGAACGCUGGCGGCGUGCUUAACACAUGCAAGUCGAACGGGAAAUAUUUCAUUGAGACUUCGGUGGAUUUGAUUUAUUUCUAGUGGCGGACGGGUGAGUAACGCGUGGGUAACCUGCCUUAUACAGGGGGAUAACAGUCAGAAAUGGCUGCUAAUACCGCAUAAGCGCACAGAGCUGCAUGGCUCAGUGUGAAAAACUCCGGUGGUAUAAGAUGGACCCGCGUUGGAUUAGCUAGUUGGUGGGGUAACGGCCCACCAAGGCGACGAUCCAUAGCCGGCCUGAGAGGGUGAACGGGCACAUUGGGACUGAGACACGGCCCAGACUCCUACGGGAGGCAGCAGUGGGGAAUAUUGCACAAUGGGGGAAACCCUGAUGCAGCGACGCCGCGUGAAGGAAGAAGUAUCUCGGUAUGUAAACUUCUAUCAGCAGGGAAGAUAGUGACGGUACCUGACUAAGAAGCCCCGGCUAACUACGUG